CUGAGCUAGUUGCUUUGAGGAAAAAUCGACUUACUUCAGUUUCUGCAAAAUCGGAAUGUCUUCAAGUUUCCGUUGCCGAUCAUUUGAUUGAUCGAUGAGUUUCUGAGUUUACAUACUUCUCUGCGUCCGAAGAGAAGUUCACUGGAAGACAUCACCAAGUCAAAUAGCUAUUAAACUCAACAAUGCGCAAAAAGAGGCGUUUACAUCAAUUGAAGCAUCCAUUUGAUUCUUAUCCAUUUGAGGCAAUUCUCCAUGGGUCAUGGCAAGCUUUGAGGUGCAUAGCAAUUGAAGGGGGAACAAUGGUCUUACAUUUUAAAGAUAAUAACCAUGUUGUUAGGGAGAAAGCUCCCAUUUCAGACAUUCGGAUAAGGUCUAGGAAAGCAACUGUAUCGGAUUGCUCCUGCUUUUUAAGACCUGGAAUUGACAUAUGUGUACUUUCUUCCUUUCAACAUGCUAAUGGCUCAGAUCAAAAUAAUCUUAAUGCUGUGUGGGCUGAUGCUAAAAUAAGUUCUAUACAGAGGAAGCCACAUGAACCUGGGUGCUCAUGUCGGUAUUAUGUAAACAUAUAUGUUAAUCAAGGUUGUAUUGGUUCUGAGGUAAGAACUCUGAGUAAGGAGAUCAAAGAAGUGGGAAUAGAUCAAAUUUCGAUACUCCAAAGGCUUGAGCAUAGUCCUUGUGAAGAUCAACACUAUCGGUGGGAUUCAUCUGAGGACUGGCAUGCAGUACCACAAACUAGAUUGCUUUCAGGGAAAUUUUUAUCUGAUAUUUCGUGGUUAAUUGUCUCAUCAGUUUUGAAGAAGGUUUCAUUUUGUGUGAGAUCGGCAGGUAACAAGAUUGUAUAUCAAAUCAUAGGGGGUGAUGAUAAUAGCUCCAUACUGGAUGUUGUAAAUUUCAGAGUAGACAACAGCAUGUUAGUACCCAUCGUUUCCCAAGUUAUUUCAUCUGACACCGAUAAGGUUGACAAUAGAGAUGAUUCCCACAAAGAUAAAGCAUUUCCAUCUUAUAGUCCUGAUGGUUUGCGUCGUUCCAAACGCCGGAAUGUUCAACCCGAGCGCUACCUUGGCUGUGACGUGACUCAUGUGUUGGAUGUUGGUUUUGUCAGAACAAGGCCAUACAAGAUGGACACUCGAAAAGAUGAUACUGAGGAUGAUGAAUUGUCAAUGCCACUGUCAUCCCUGAUUGGUUUGCAAAAAUGUUCUGGAGUGAAGCACGAUGACAGUGGACUAAAGUUUGAUAACAUGAAAUCCUACAACAAGCUUAAAGUGUAUAAAAGGAGGCCUAAAUCUAAGGAAGUGAAUUCAGGUGAUGCUGAUAAGAAUGAAAGUCAAUCUCAACUUGCCAUUGUUCCUGUUCCUCAAGAAUGUGAUCCUAUUAACAUUGAGCAUUUUGAUUCCAAUGCCAAGGUCUCAAAACAUCACACACAAAGAAAUGUUGAAUUUCCUAACAAAUAUUAUCACCUGAUGGGUAGUCCUGAACCAAAGACGAAUGAUAUGGAUUUGUUAACUUUUGAAUCCCAUAAUCAUCCCUCGAAGAUUCCAGACCUUGAAGAUCGUGUUGAAGAGCGUGGUGAUAUUGCUUCCCGAUGUCAUUAUAAUCAUGGCACCCCUAAACUGAAGAGGAAGAAUUCAUUGGGUUUUGAUGAUAAGGAUUUUGAAGGCAGGUGGGAAGGGAUAAAUUCCAAUAAAGCUGCAGUUCAAGGGAGAAAAUAUUAUUCAACAAUUUCAAGCAGACAAUCUGAUGAAGAAAGAACUUAUAAAGCUAGGUCCUUAAGUGCGGGUGCCUAUAAGGAAUUGAUAGACUCAUAUUUAAAGAAUAUGAAUGCAAAACCAUCCAAAGCUGAGCCACCUAUAACUGAGCAGUGGAUGCAAUUCAAGGAAACAAGUAACUUAGGACAAAAGAGCGAAACAAAGGCCCCCCAAAUGGAGGACGAGGAAGAAACUGAUGAACUGGAUAUGUUGUGGAGAGAAAUGGAAGUUUCAUUGGCAUCAAGUUAUGUUGAAGAAGACACGGAGGGUUCAAGCGCUGCAGUUUUUACUGAGACCAUGGAAAAGCCUGAUUCACUUUGUUGCCAUGAUUAUAGAAUGAAUGAAGAAGUUGGAAUUUACUGUCUCUUAUGUGGCAUUGUCAGUACUGAGAUAAAAGAUAUUUUGCCACCCUUUUUGGAACGUUCGAUGUGGCACUAUGAGGAGAAGCAACACAGUGGAGAAGGUUCAGAACCAGAGCCAAAGGCUGACGAAAAUGAUGGUUUCCAUCUUUUUUUUACUGAUGCUUUGCCUGAUCAACCUAUAACUGGAGAAAAUGAUAAUGUAUGGGCAUUAAUUCCUGAACUCAGGUGGAAGUUGCACGUCCACCAAAAGAGAGCUUUUGAAUUUCUUUGGAAAAAUAUAGCUGGGUCUAUGGACCCCACACUUAUGGAAGCAGCUUCCAAAAAAAGAGGUGGUUGCGUGAUAUCUCAUUCUCCUGGUGCUGGAAAAACAUUCCUUAUUAUUGCAUUUCUUGUUAGCUACUUGAAGUUAUUCCCAGGGAAGCGACCAUUGGUUCUUGCUCCGAAGACAACACUUUACACAUGGUAUAAAGAAUUUAUUAAAUGGAAAAUUCCUAUUCCAGUGUAUCUAAUUCAUGGUCGUAGAACCUACCGAGCGUUCAAGCAGAAUACUGUGGCCUUUAAUGGUGGUCCUAAACCUACUGAUGAUGUCAAGCAUAUUUUGGAUUGCCUGGAAAAGAUCCAAAAGUGGCACACGCACCCAAGUGUUCUAGUCAUGGGUUAUACUUCAUUUUUAACAUUGAUGCGAGAGGAUUCAAAGUUUUCUCACAGAAAGUACAUGGCUAAAGUAUUAAGGGAAAGUCCUGGUAUUCUUAUAUUGGACGAAGGGCACAAUCCUAGAAGCACAAAAUCAAGGUUGAGGAAAGUAUUGAUGAAAGUACAGACGGAAUUGAGAAUAUUACUUUCAGGUACAUUGUUCCAGAACAAUUUCUGUGAAUACUUCAACACUCUUUGCUUGGCUAGACCAAAGUUUGCUUUUGAAGUGUUGAAAAAACUGGACCCUAAAUACAAGAGAAAAAUGAAAGGAAGAGGAAAAGCACGCCAUUUAAUAGAGUCACGAGCUAGAAAAUUCUUCUUGGAUACUAUUGCGAAAAAAGUUGACUCCAAAGAUAAAAAAGAGCAAAUGCAGGGUCUGAACAUGUUGAGAAAGAUGACCAGUGGUUUUAUAGAUGUUUAUGAAAAUGGGAAUUCAGAGGAUCUUCCUGGUUUACAAAUCUAUACAUUGGUAAUGAAUACUACUGAUAUACAGCAUGAGAUAUUGAGUAAACUCCAGAAGAAAAUGUCUGCCUGCAGUGGAUAUCCUUUGGAGUUAGAGCUUUUGAUAACCCUUGGAUCGAUACAUCCUUGGUUAGUCAAAACAGCUGUAUGUGCGGAGAAGUUUUUUUCUAUAGAUCAAUUGAUGGAGCUAGAGAAAUGGAAGUAUGAUUUGAAAAAAGGAUCAAAAGUGAAAUUUGUUUUGAGCCUGGUCUAUCGCGUGGUCAGGAAUGAGAAGAUUCUAAUGUUUUGCCAUAACAUUGCACCUGUGAGGUUAUUUGCUGAAUUAUUUGAGAAGUUCUUUGGAUGGCAUAGAGGUCGAGAAGUCUUAGUUCUGACUGGGGAGCUAGAGCUCUUUGAACGUGGAAGGAUAAUGGAUAAGUUUGAGGAUCCUAAUGGAGCAUCAAAGAUACUUCUUGCUUCAAUUUCAUCUUGUGCUGAAGGCAUUAGUUUGACAGCAGCCUCUCGGGUGAUUUUGUUGGAUUCGGAAUGGAAUCCAUCCAAGACAAAACAGGCUGUUGCACGUGCUUUUCGUCCUGGUCAGCAAAAGAUGGUGUAUGUGUACCAACUUCUGGCAACAGGCACAUUGGAGGAAGAUAAGUAUAAAAGAACCACCUGGAAAGAGUGGGUUUCCAGCAUGAUUUUUAGUGAAGAAUUUGUGCAGGACCCUUCCCGAUGGCGAAAAGAAAAGAUUGAAGAUGAUAUAUUGCGAGAAAUGGUUGCGGAAGACCGCUCCAAUUCAUUCCGUAUGAUUAUGAAGAAUGAAAAGGCGUCCACAAACUAAUUCAAGAAAAUCAAGCAUAUUGGGAAAAUGAGUUAUUUCAGAUGAGAGAGGGUGAAGGAAUUUCGGUUGCAUUGCUGUGAGGACCAUCCUAAGCGUGAUAAUAUCAGCAGGAACUGCCGCAGAAGUUUCAAGCUUAUUGCUUUACAAACCUCUCUAAGGAGAGUGACCGUUUUAUCUACACAGUAAAGCAGCAUUUGGGUAUUUACAUAAGAGGAAGAAUUAAGCAUCUAUUAAGCUGAACAUGUCUUUAGUUCUGCUUGAGAUGGUUGGGUUGAAAAUGUAACAAUGGUGGACAGGUUCUGACUAUUCAAUUUAGUAACAAAUAAUUUUAAAAAUCAUUGUCUAGAGUCUAAAGCCUCUAAUCUCUUGUUAAGAUGAUUCUUACUUUCUUUCUUUAUAUUCUGUAAUAAAUUAAGACCGACCAAUGAGUCAAAUAUUAAGUCUUCGAUACAUUUUUUCCUUAUCAUGUCAUGACUAUUCGAUAUUUUUUUCAGUUAUUAAGC